GACACUCAUUGGCAGUUGUAUAUGCCAUAUUCUGUGUUGCCCAUGCACUACUAUAGUCUGCAAGGCAGACAAGAUGCUCUUCGUGUGGCAGUACUCAAUAUUGAAGAUGUAAAAACUUGCCAAUAAGGCGAUAAUUGCAUCAAAACAACUGUUGCUUGUUAUGGAACUUUCAUCCUUUCCCUCGAUAACGUAUGAUUGACAGUUUCUAGUCGUAUUCUAGUAAGUUCGCUGCCAACGGCCACAAUAUGGG